GACGAACGCUGGCGGCGUGCUUAACACAUGCAAGUCGAACGGAAAGGCCUUUUCGGAGGUACUCGAGUGGCGCACGGGUGCGUAACACGUGGGUGAUCUGCCCUGCACUCUGGGAUAAGCCUGGGAAACUGGGUCUAAUACCGGUUCGGACUGCACUUUAGUGUGUGUGGUGGAAAGUUUUUUCGGUGUAGGAUGAGCCCGCGGCCUAUCAGCUUGUUGGUGGGGUAAUGGCCUACCAAGGCGGCGACGGGUAGCCAGACUGAGAGGUUGGACGGCCACAUUGGGACUGAGAGACGGCCCAGACUCCUACGGGAGGCAGCAGUGGGGAAUAUUGCACAAUGGGCGCAAGCCUGAUGCAGCGACGCCGCGUGGGGGAUGACGGCCUUCUGGUUGUAAACGCCUUUCGCCAGGGACGAAGCGUUUUGUGACGGUACCUGGAGAAGAAGCACCGGCUAACUACGUG
rnacentral:rRNA from 1 species